UACGGGGGGGGGCAAGCGUUGUUCGGAAUUACUGGGCGUAAAGGGCUCGUAGGCGGCCAACUAAGUCAGACGUGAAAUCCCCAGGCUCAACCUGGGAACUGCGUCUGAUACUGGUUGGCUUGAAUCCGGGAGAGGGAUGCAGAAUUCCAGGUGUAGCGGUGAAAUGCGUAGAUAUCUGGAGGAAUACCGGUGGCGAAGGCGGCAUCCUGGACCGGCAUUGACGCUGAGGAGCGAAAGCGUGGGGAGCAAACAGG
rnacentral:rRNA from 1 species